CCUGCCCAGUGAUUAAACGGCCGCGGUAUCCUAACCGUGCAAAGGUAGCAUAAUCACUUGUCCCCUAAUUAGGGACUAGAAUGAACGGCUAAAUGAGGACAAAACUGUCUCUUACGGCAGGCCAAUGAAAUUGAUCUUCCAGUACAAAAGCUGGAAUAAACACAUAAGACGAGAAGACCCUGUGGAGCUUUAAAACCAAAUCACCAAAUUUUUAGUUGGGGCGACUUUGGAGCAAAAAAAACCCUCCAAAAUACUAGAAUUAAGGCUUACACACCAAAAAUCAGACCCAGCAUGUCUGAUCAAUGAACCAAGUUACCCCAGGGAUAACAGCGCCAUCCUCUUCUAGAGUCCUUAUCGACAAGAGGGUUUACGACCUCGAUGUUGGAUCAGGACAUCCCUAUAGUGCAGCCGCUAUAAAAGGUUCGUUUGUUCAACGAUUAAAGUCCUAC
rnacentral:rRNA from 1 species